GACGAACGCUGGCGACGCGCCUAACACAUGCAAGUCGAACGAGAGAUGAGGAGCUUGCUCUUCAAAUCGAGUGGCGAACGGGUGAGUAACGCGUGAGGAACCUGCCUCAAAGAGGGGGACAACAGUUGGAAACGACUGCUAAUACCGCAUAAGCCCACGGCUCGGCAUCGAGCAGAGGGAAAAGGAGCAAUCCGCUUUGAGAUGGCCUCGCGUCCGAUUAGCUAGUUGGUGAGGUAACGGCCCACCAAGGCGACGAUCGGUAGCCGGACUGAGAGGUUGAACGGCCACAUUGGGACUGAGACACGGCCCAGACUCCUACGGGAGGCAGCAGUGGGGAAUAUUGCACAAUGGGGGAAACCCUGAUGCAGCGACGCCGCGUGGAGGAAGAAGGUCUUCGGAUUGUAAACUCCUGUUGUUGAGGAAGAUAAUGACGGUACUCAACAAGGAAGUGACGGCUAACUACGUGCCAGCAGCCGCGGUAAAACGUAGGUCACAAGCGUUGUCCGGAAUUACUGGGUGUAAAGGGAGCGCAGGCGGGAGAACAAGUUGGAAGUGAAAUCCAUGGGCUCAACCCAUGAACUGCUUUCAAAACUGUUUUUCUUGAGUAGUGCAGAGGUAGGCGGAAUUCCCGGUGUAGCGGUGGAAUGCGUAGAUAUCGGGAGGAACAUCAGUGGCGAAGGCGGCCUACUGGGCACCAACUGACGCUGAGGCUCGAAAGUGUGGGUAGCAAACAGGAUUAGAUACCCUGGUAGUCCACACCGUAAACGAUCAUAAAGGGUGUUGGAGGAUGACCCCUUCAGUGCCGCAGUUAACACAAUA
rnacentral:rRNA from 1 species